CAACAAUAUGAUACAAUGGUAUG
rnacentral:siRNA from 1 species